UCCCUGCGCAAGGGAUCGUUUGGUUCUAUGUGCGAUGAAGGUCAGAGCAGUAUCUGAUAAUGUAGAAUGAUUGUAGUAAUUGUUCUAUGUGACUGAAUUGAACAGUGAUGCUCGAGUACUCCUUGAA
rnacentral:rRNA from 1 species